rnacentral:rRNA from 1 species
CCCUUAGAUGUCCUGGGCCGCACGCGCGUUACACUGAUGCAUUCAACGAGUUCCUACCUUGGCCGAGAGGCCUGGGCAAUCUUUUGAACUUGCAUCGUGAUAGGGAUAGAUUAUUGCAAUUAUUAAUCUUGAACGAGGAAUUCCUAGUAAACGCAGAUCAUCAAUCUGCAUUGAUUACGUCCCUGCCCUUUGUACACACCGCCCGUCGCACCUACCGAUUGAAUGGUCCGGUGAAGCCUCGGGAUUGUGGUUAGUUUCCUUCAUUGGAAGUUAGCCGCGAGAACUUGUCUAAACCUUAUCAUUUAGAGGAAGGUGAAGUCGUAACA